GACGAACGCUGGCGGCGUGCUUAACACAUGCAAGUCGAACGAAGAGCGAUGGAAGCUUGCUUCUAUCAAUCUUAGUGGCGCACGGGUGAGUAACGCGUAAUCAACCUGCCCUUCAGAGGGGGACAACAGUUGGAAACGACUGCUAAUACCGCAUACGAUCUAAUCUCGGCAUCGAGGAUAGAUGAAAGGUGGCCUCUACAUGUAAGCUAUCACUGAAGGAGGGGAUUGCGUCUGAUUAGCUAGUUGGAGGGGUAACGGCCCACCAAGGCGAUGAUCAGUAGCCGGUCUGAGAGGAUGAACGGCCACAUUGGGACUGAGACACGGCCCAGACUCCUACGGGAGGCAGCAGUGGGGAAUCUUCCGCAAUGGACGAAAGUCUGACGGAGCAACGCCGCGUGAGGGAUGACGGCCUUCGGGUUGUAAAGCUCUGUUAAUCGGGACGAAAGGCCUUCUUGCGAAUAGUGAGAAGGAUUGACGGUACCGGAAUAGAAAGCCACGGCUAACUACGUG
rnacentral:rRNA from 1 species